CCUGGAAGUCCAACUACUUCCUUACAAUCAUCCAACUUUUGGAUGAAUAUCCAAAAUGCUUCACUGUGGGAGCAGGAAAUGUGGGUUCCAAGCAGAUGCAGCAGAUCCCCAUGUCCCUCUGAUACACAUCUGACUCU